CGGGACGUAGCUCAGCUUGGUAGAGCGCGCGCUUUGGGAGCGUGAGGUCGCAGGUUCAAAUCCUGUCGUCCCGA
rnacentral:tRNA from 12 species